rnacentral:rRNA from 1 species
GACGAACGCUGGCGGCGUGCUUAACACAUGCAAGUCGAACGGAAAGGCCCUGCUUUUGUGGGGUGCUCGAGUGGCGAACGGGUGAGUAACACGUGAGUAACCUGCCCUUGACUUUGAGAUAACUUCAGGAAACUGGGGCUAAUACCGGAUAGGAGCUCCUGCUGCAUGGUGGGGGUUGGAAAGUUUCGGCGGUUGGGGAUGGACUCGCGGCUUAUCAGCUUGUUGGUGGGGUAGUGGCUUACCAAGGCUUUGACGGGUAGCCGGCCUGAGAGGGUGACCGGCCACAUUGGGACUGAGAUACGGCCCAGACUCCUACGGGAGGCAGCAGUGGGGAAUAUUGCACAAUGGGCGGAAGCCUGAUGCAGCAACGCCGCGUGCGGGAUGACGGCCUUCGGGUUGUAAACCGCUUUCGCCUGUGACGAAGCGUGAGUGACGGGAAUGGGUAAAGAAGCACCGGCUAACUACGU